rnacentral:rRNA from 1 species
AAGCUUAAAAUCUCAGUGCAAUUUUUGCACGGCGAAUUGUAGUCUAUAGAGGCGUGGUCAGUGUGGGCACUUGGGGUAAGUUCCUUGGAAGAGGACAGCCAUGGAGGGUGAUACUUCCGUCAAUCCCUAAGUUGCUUGUGCGUACGACCCGUUUUCUUUGAGUCGCGUUGUUUGAGAAUGCAGCGCAAAGUAGGUGGUAAAUUCCAUCUAAAGCUAAAUAUUGGUGCGAGACCGAUAGCAUACAAGYACCGUGAGGGAAAGAUGAAAAGAACUUUGAAAAUAGAGUUAAAGAGUACCUGAAACUGCUGAAAGGGAACCAAAUCGUUUCCAGUGUCUAUAAUCCGUGGUAUAUUACAUUGGCGAGUGUGUGCGUGCGUGUGCUGUUGCAGUGGCUUUUUGGCUGCGCUCGGCGUGUGUGCUGUGUGUGCUUGCUGGUGCCCUGUACUGCGGUGGGACGUCAAGGUCAGUUCGUAUGCUGCGGGAAAUGACCACCGAGGAGGUAGGGCUUACGCUUGCGUUUGUCUGUUAUAUCUUGGUGGACGAGUCGUCGCGGUUGGGACUGAGGUGCCUACAACGUGCUUUUGAGUGGGCUUGGGUCUCCGUGUGCGCCGUGUGCGGAUAGCUUGCUAUGCGUGUGUGGUUGUGUGUGGAU